rnacentral:rRNA from 1 species
GAUCCUGGCUCAGGAUGAACGCUGGCGGCGUGCCUAACACAUGCAAGUCGGACGAAGCAAUAAAGACGGAGAUUCGUCAAAGCCUUUAUUGACUUAGUGGCGGACGGGUGAGUAACGCGUGAGCAACCUGCCUUUCAGAGGGGGGACAACAGUUGGAAACGGCUGCUAAUACCGCAUAAUGUACAGAGGGGGCAUCCCUUUUGUAUCAAAGGAGAAAUCCGCUGAAAGAUGGGCUCACGU